AACGUAGGUGGCGAGCGUUAUCCGGAUUCACUGGGCGUAAAGCGCCCGCAGGCGGCUCGGCAAGUGGGACGUGAAAUCUCCCGGCUCAACUGGGAGGGGUCGUUCCAUACUGCCGGGCUGGAGGGCAGAAGAGGAAAGUGGAAUUCCCGGUGUAGUGGUGAAAUGCGUAGAUAUCGGGAGGAACACCAGUGGCGAAGGCGACUUUCUGGUCUGCACCUGACGCUCAGGGGCGAAAGCUAGGGGAGCGAACGGG
rnacentral:rRNA from 1 species